ACCGUGAAUAGGUAUACCUAUUGUUCGUAUGCGGACGGUUAGGUCUGAAUGUCCGCUGAAGAGCAUUGACACUUGCAAACCAUUUUGAGUUGAGUCUAUGUCUAAUCCAAUGGCUCUAUCGAUAAAAAAAAAAAGUCCUCUUCCUCUUUUUCUCUUCAACAAUUCCUCUCUUCUCUCACCAUAAAAACCAUGUCUUUAAUUACGCCAUUGAUGUUUAAGUCAUUGGUGAGGUUUUUAACAACGCUGAUUGUGGAGCCAGCAGCUUCGGUCUCGACCUUGCUCUUCUACAGCGAGCUUUUACCACAGAGCAACGUCUUAGAAAGACUGGUUCGUCAUGAAAUGCUUCGUCAAGAUAAUAAUUAUAUGUUCCAUUUCCUUGUUAACUUUUUGAGGUGUUUUUGGUAGCUAGCUAGGCGAUGGUUGUUUAUCAAUUCACCACAGAUAUUUUAUUCACCAAUUUUAUUUUAUUUUAUUUUAUCUAGGUCGAAAUCAUGCAUGAGAGAUAUGAGUGUUUUUUAUUUUAUUUUUAAUAUUUCUUUGAUUAAUGACCAUUAUAUAAAGGAUCCCAGCAGCUUCUUAAUUUUGUAGCAUCAUUUUAUUAAGUGCCAUAAUUACAUGGUCACUAAUAUAUGAAUAUAUAUAUUU